GCUGAGUGGAUUUACUUUUCUCCGGCGGAGGACCAUGGGGCCGGGGCGGAGGGGCGCAGGGGGGACGGCGUGGAGACGGACGGAGGAGAGCUGGUACCUUCUGGUGACAUUGCUGCUGUGGAGCGGCUUCUGGAGAGCGCACACACAGACAGACGAUGGGAAGUCCGUCUACUUUUGGGAAACAGGUCCGUGGGGGCGGUGCAUGGGCAGCGACUGCGGCCCCGGGGGCAGCCAGAGCCGGGCGGUGUGGUGCGCCCACGUGGACGGCUGGACCACGCUCCACACCAACUGUGACCAGAACCUGCGGCCGUCCAACCAGAGGAACUGCUUCCGCGUGUGCGACUGGCACAAGGAUCUGUACGACUGGAGGCUUGGCGCCUGGAACGCCUGCGUUCCGGUGUCGGCCCGGACGUUCGGAGCCGCCAGGCCGCUCCCCUGCAGCGGCGGGGAGGAGGGCAUUCAGACGCGGGAGGUGGGCUGCAUGCUCAAAGCCGACGGCCUGCCGGCAGAUGAUGCCAUCUGUGAGUACUUCGAGCCCAAGCCCCGCCUGGAGCAGGCCUGCCUGAUCCCCUGCCCUCAGGACUGCGUGGUUUCUGAGUACUCGCCGUGGACGUCCUGCUCCAAAACCUGUGGGACCGGCCUCAGGAACAGGGUCCGCAGCGUUCUGGUUCCUCCGCUUUUCGGAGGCGCUUUGUGUCCCAACCUCACCGAAUUCCAGUCCUGCAAACCCGGACCCUGCAAGGGCCCGGAGGGGCUGUACAGCCACAGGGUGGGGCCCUGGGGCCCCUGUGCCCUCCUGGGGUCACGGACUGCGCGGCAGGCCAAACGCAGGAAAGGGAAGGGGCAGGGACUCCGAGAGCGCGGAGGGGCGAAAGACCCCGAGACCAGGGAGCUAAUCCAGAAGAAACGGACCAGGAACCGCCUUAACCGACAAGACAGCCCCUUCUGGGACAUCCAGGUGGGGUACCAGACCCGGGAGGUGACCUGCAUCCACCGGAAUGGGAGCACAGUCGCACGCAACCUGUGCGGGCCCAGAGACCAGCCUCUGAUCAUCCAGUCCUGCGUUCUCCCAAAAGCCUGCCAGGUGACAGAGUGGGCGGAGUGGAGCUCCUGCUCAAAGACCUGCGUGGACCCGGAGUCUCCCGGAGGUAACCGCACCCGCCAGAGGCAGGUGCUGCAGUUCUCCGUGGGCGAGGAGGCGCCGUGCCCGCCGCUGGAGGAGAGCGAGCCCUGUGAGCCUCAGGGAGGCGGCGUCCCACCAUGCACCACUUACACAUGGAGAACCACCGAGUGGACCGACUGCCGGGUCGACGUGCUGCUGAGCCAACAAGACCGGAGGCGGAGCAACAUGACGGGGCUGUGUGGGGGGGGUCUGCAGACCAGGGAGGUGUACUGCGUCCAGGCCAACGCCGAGGUCCUGAAAUACCUCGCCGACCUGCGCGAGAAGGAGAAAGCAGGUCAGAGCCAAAGACCGCAGAAGCCUAGUGUCCCCCCCCUCAUCUCCGUCACCUUCCAGAUCUCAGCCUCCCCCCCGGUGGAGAACCGGCUGUGCCAAGGCCCGGUCCCCAACAGGUCCCAGCUGUGCCAGAUCCCCUGUCCCAUCGACUGCCAGGUGUCGCCCUGGGGGGCCUGGGGGCCCUGCACCUUCGAGAACUGUGACGACCAGACGGGGAAGAAAGGGUUCAAACUGAGGAGACGACAGAUCAGCAACGAGCCCACGGGGGGCCCGGGCAGCUGCCCCCACCUGGUGGAGGCGGUGCCGUGUGACGAGCCCACCUGUUACGGCUGGCAGCUGCUCAGCCUGGAGAAGUGUCUACCCGCCGACGGGCAGCAGUGCGGCCCCGGCGCUCGCCAGCCGCAGGUCCGGUGCAUCAACAGCAGCGGUAAGUCGGUGGACGGCUCCCUCUGCUCGCCGUUCCCGCCCCCAGAGCCCGUGGCUUGCGACGUGCCUUGCUCCAGAGACUGCGUGCUCAGCGACUGGACGGCGUGGUCCACCUGCUCCCAGACCUGCUCUAGUAAGACGGUGGAGGGGAAGCAGAUGAGGACCCGCUCCAUUCUGGCCUACAACGCCGGGGAAGGUGGCGCCCUGUGCCCGAACAGCAGCGCCCUUCAGGAGGUCCGUAACUGUAACGAGCACGCCUGUACGGUGUACCACUGGCAGACGGGGCCCUGGGGCCCCUGCACCGAGGACCCGUCCUCCCCGUCCUUCAACGCCUCGGCGGCGGUCCGCAGCAGCAGUCAGGGCCCGUGUUCUCUGGGGAUGCAGACCCGCAAGGUCAUCUGUGUGCGGGUCAACGUGGGCCAGGUUCCUCCCAAGAAGUGUCCCGACGGCCCCCGCCCCACCACCAUGCGCCCUUGCCAGCUGCCCUGUAAGAAAGACUGCAUCGUGACCCCGUUCAGCGACUGGACAGAGUGUCCUCUGAUCUGUGACGCAGCUGGUAAUGCGGUCAAGAAAAAGCAAUCCAGGAAGCGUCUGAUCAUCCAGAUGCCCUCCAACGGAGGACAGGAGUGUCCAGAGGUGCUGGAGGAGGAGAGGGACUGUGAGGCCCCCAGGAGCUGUCCAGGUUUCCGGUGGAAAACCCACAAAUGGAGGAAAUGCCAGCUGGUGCCAUGGACCCUGCGGAAGGACGAUCCUGGUGCUCAGGAGAACUGUGGUUCUGGACUUCAAACCAGAGCGAUGUCGUGCCGUCAGCUGGACGGGACGCAGGGCGACAUCAGCGAGUGUCUGAAGUUCGCUAAGGUCAUGCCCCCUGUCACUCAGCGCUGUCAGCUCCCCUGCCAGGAUGACUGCCAGCUGACCAGCUGGUCCAAGUUCUCGUCCUGCACCGCUGACUGCGUGGGGGUCCGCACCAGGAAGAGGGCGUUGAUAGGGAGAAGCAAAAAGAAGGACAAGUGCAAGAACACCCAGAUGUACCCUCUGAGCGAGACGCAGUACUGCCCCUGCGACAAGUACAACGCCCAGCCGGUGGGAAGGUGGUCGGACUGCAUCCUGCCUGAGGGGGCCCGAGCCGAGAGCCCUCUGGGGAUGAAGGUGCAGGGAGACAUCAAGGAGUGCGGUCAGGGCUACCGCUACCAGGCCAUGGCGUGCUACGACCAGGACAGCAGGCUGGUGGAGACGGCGCGCUGCAACAGUCACGGUUACAUCGAGGAGGCGUGCAUCAUCCCCUGUCCCUCCGACUGUAAACUCAGCGAGUGGUCCAACUGGUCGCGCUGCAGCAAGUCCUGCGGAAGUGGCGUGAAAGUUCGCUCCAAAUGGCUGAGAGAGAAACCGUACAACGGGGGCCGGCCGUGUCCCAAACUGGACCACAUCAACCAGGCCCAGGUGUACGAGGUGGUGCCGUGUCAGAGCGACUGUAACCAGUAUGUUUGGGUCGCGGAGCCCUGGAGUGUUUGGAAGGUCAGCAACGUUGACCUGAAGGAGAACUGCGGGGAGGGCGUCCAGACCAGAAAAGUCAGGUGCAUGCUCAACACGGUGGACGGGCCCUCAGAGGCGGUGGAGGACUACCUCUGCGACCCGGAGGAGAUGCCGCUGGGCGCCCGGGAGAGCCGACUUCCCUGCCCAGAAGACUGCGUCCUCAACGACUGGGGCCCCUGGAGCCGCUGCAGCCUGCCCUGCACCAGAACCAACAGUCGAGUCCGGACGGCGUACACCAUCCGAUCCCCCAGCGUGGGCCGGGAGUGUCCCGACACGACGGACAAAGAAGCCUGCAGCCUGAACCUGAACUGCUUCAACUACUUCUACAACAUCACAGACUGGAGUACAUGUCAGCUGAGUCCCAACGCCGUGUGUGGGCGGGGCAUCAAGACGCGGAUGCUGGACUGUGUUCGCAGCGACGGGAAGUCGGUGGACAUGAAAUUCUGCGAGGAGCUGAAUCUGGAGAGGAAGUGGCAGAUGAACGCGUCCUGCGUGGUGGAGUGUCCCGUCAACUGUCAGAUGUCCGAGUGGUCGCCGUGGUCGGACUGCUCGCAGACCUGCGGGCUGGAGGGUAAGAUGCGGCGGCAGCGGUUGGUGGUCCAGGCGUCGCAGGGCGACGGCCGGCCCUGCCCCUCUCAGAUGGAGCAGUGGAAGCCCUGUCCGGUGCGGCCCUGCUUCCGCUGGCAGUACAGCGCCUGGUCAGAGUGCCGGGUGGAGAGCGUGGUGUGCGGGGAAGGCAUGCGCUACAGGAACCUGUCCUGCUUCGUGUCGGACGGAUCCGCCGACGGCGAGUUCAGCAUGGUGGACGAGGAGCUGUGCAGCAGCCUGGAGCUGGCCGUCAACGGAGACAAGCAGAUCCUCCUGAAGGAGCCCUGCACCCUGCCAUGUCCGGGUGAGUGUUACCUGAUGGAGUGGUCGGACUGGAGCUCCUGUGUCAACAUCUGCGUCAAAGAAGCCGGGGUGGACUUCGGCUCGGUCCAGGUCCGCUCUCGAGCCGUGCUGGCCCAGGAGCCUGAGAACCUUCAGCUCUGUCCAGACCAGGUGUGGGAGUCCAAACCCUGCACAGGGGGCGAAUGCUUCCAGUACAAGUGGUUCGGCAGUUCUCCUCCCAACUCCACCGGCGCCUGGUGCCAGCGCUCCGACGGACUCAACGUCACGGGUGGAUGUCCCGCCGUCAGCCCCCCGCUGGACAACAGCUCCUGUGACCCUCCGUGUUUGAUGCCAAAGUCUUUCUGCAGCGAGGCGGCCGUCUGCGCGUGCGAGGACGGCUUCACAGAAGUGCUGUCCUUGACGGGACGGCUGAGGGAGUGCGCCCCCAUCCCCGUCCUGGAGAUUCCCACCGCCGGGGACAAGAAGGGCGACGUGAAGACCAGCCGCGCCGUCAACCCCACCCUGCCCAGCACCGUCCAGCCGGGCCGCAGCGGCCGGACCUGGUACCUGCAGCCCUACGGCCCAGACGGGAAGCUGAAGAUGUGGGUGUACGGGGUGGCGGCGGGGGCCUUCGUGCUCCUCAUAUUCAUAGUGUCUAUGAUAUACCUAGCUUGCAGCUACUGCGCCCGGCUGCACCGCUCCCUGAAGGCCCAGGAGACGGACAGCAACGGGGCGGCGGUGUGGGGGGGCCAGAACGCUCACGAGAUGGUUUACACCUGUCCCGAGUGCCAGGAGCAGCCUCACAGCAGCUGCAGCAGCUAAAGCGGACCCCCCCACGCCACAGCCCGACCCCGAGUCGACCCGUCAGGGUCCCGCGUCCAGAAUGACUAGAUGAGUGAAGGUGCAGCAAAAAGCCAAAGAGACCUCAGAGACAGAGGCAGCAAAACAACCGACUAAAACCUCUGACGCUGGCCUACGACGGAGACACGGACAUGUAGGGGGCGGAGCUCUCCACCCGCUCCGCCGCUGUCAAAUGGACUCGACGGUGCAGAGAUGACAGGAAGUCCUCUCAGCAGAGGCGCCGCUCUUCAAACUGAGCUCUGUUCACUCCUCCUGUUUUAUUUUGGCGGGGUCUUCCUGUCCUCCACAGUGCUCAAUGCCUUUUUGUUUUUUUGCCCUUGAAGCCUGGGUGAAGCCGGCGGAUGCAGCCGCCGUCUCUUCCAGCUCCACCCCCCAAACACACAUGCUUUUCUGCUGAGAAGGCGCUGGAGGCUUAGGACGCUCCGGCGAUUCGGAUGCUGCCAAAAGAGGAGAGGAGGAGGAGGAAAAUCUCCUUCCAAAGGUUUGGAUUCCUUCAAUCCUCAUUUGGGUUUCCACUCAAAUCUCUUCUCAACAAAAGAGUGGGGGGGGGGCAUUUCUUCUCCCGUCUUUCUGCUGGAUUCAGAGUUUUGUUUUCGGGGAUAAACCGACGGGAGGGAUGCUGAAGGAGGACGACCGCCCCCCGCCCGCCUGCUGGCCUCCACCCGGCUUCCUUUCAGGCUCUACUUUGCACUAUAUUAGUGCAGCAUGAUAUGCACACGUGACUUCUACCUUCUAUUGCCAUAAAGACACUGCCUCUUCCACAAACGGAACCGCCAGAAGAGCCGCUCGGGGGCGCCGCCUCCAUAGACUCCUGUACAGCUUUCAGUUUCCCGGCGGAGUUGUUGGUCGUUGUAGAGUACGUUUCUGUGGUCUGUGGAGUUUGUCCGGUGUUCCUGGUUCAGAUGCAACCCCCCCCCCCACACACACAAACAUGCUGUUCAAAUUCUCUUUUUUUUGUUUGAACAGAAGCCAUCCAUGUCCUGCAAACGUCAAACUGCCUUACUGACGGCGACAGCAGCAACACGAAACGUAGAGUAGGAACAUCCAACCUGCAGAAAACAAAUGAGAAGCUUCAGCUGCUGUGGAGAAUGUUUACUUUUAUUCUGGUGGGAUUUGUACAUAAUUUUUUUAUUUUUUUGGGAAAAAAGAAACCAGGAAGAGUCGUGUACAUUUAUUUUGUAU